rnacentral:misc_RNA from 1 species
GAUGAAGAACGUAGCGAAAUGCGAUACUUGGUGUGAAUUGCAGAAUCCCGCGAAUCAUCGAGUUUUUGAACGCAAGUUGCGCCCGAAGCCAUUCGGCCGAGGGCACGUCUGCCUGGGUGUCACGCAUCGUUGCCCCCCCAAACUCCGGUUCGGGCGGGGCGGAAGUUGGCCUCCCGUGCGUGGCUGCGCGCGCGGUUAGCCCAAAAGCGAGUCCUCGGCGAUGAGCGCCACGACAAUCGGUGGUUUUUUUACCCUCGUUCCUCGUCGUGCGUGCCCCGUCGCCCGAACGCGCUCUUGCAACCCUUACGCGUCGCCUCGGUGGCGCUCCCAACGCGACCCCAGGUCAGGCGGGACUACCCGCUGAGUUUAAGCAUAUCAAUAAGCGGAGGA